UUGCACAAUGGGCGCAAGCCUGAUGCAGCAACGCCGCGUGAGCGAUGAAGGCCUUCGGGUCGUAAAGCUCUUUUCGGGGUGACGAGACAAGGACGGUAGCCCCGGAAUAAGUCUCGGCUAACUACGUGCCAGCAGCCGCGGUAAAACGUAGGAGGCAAACGUUAUCCGGAGUUACUGGGCGUAAAGCGCGUGUAGGCGGUUGGGCAAGUUCGGCGUGAAAGCUCCCGGCUAAACUGGGAGAUUGCGUUGGAAACUACCUGACUGGAGUGCGGCAGAGGAGUAGGGAAUUCCGGGUGUAGUGGUGAAAUGCGUAGAUAUCCGGAGGAACACCAGUGGCGAAGGCGCUGCUCUGGGCCGUAACUGACGCUGAGACGCGAAAGCGUGGGGAGCGAACGGGAUUAGAAACCCCGGUAGUCCACGCCGUAAACGAUGCACACUAGGUGUUCGUGGGGCAACCGCCCCGGGAGUACCGCAGCCAACGCGAUAAGUGUGCCGCCUGGGGAGUACGGUCGCAAGGCUA
rnacentral:rRNA from 1 species